rnacentral:rRNA from 1 species
CGAACGUACACAACCUUCCUUCAAGCGGGGAAUAGCCCAGAGAAAUUUGGAUUAAUACCCAUAAAAUAUGAUAGAGGCAUCUCUACUAUAUUAAAGCUUCGGCACUUAAAGAUGGGUGUGCGUCUGAUUAGGUAGUUGGUGAGGUAACGGCUCACCAAGCCAACGAUCAGUAGCUGAUGUGAGAGCAUGAUCAGCCACACGGGCACUGAGACACGGGCCCG